GGUGGCGAGAGCCAUACCUCCCCCAACCAAACUCCGAAUACCUGUUAGAUGCUGCCAGGGAGUCAGUCUGCCCGCGAUAAUGUGGGACGGCGAGAGGGGAACAACCCAGAUCGCCUGCUAAGGCCCCGGAGUGGCGACUUAGUGUAUCGAAGGAUGUGGACAUGCUGUGACAACUGGGAGGUUGGCUUAGAGGCAGCCAUUCCUUUAAAGAGUGCGUAAUAGCUCACUGGUCUAGUGAUUCUGCGCCGAAAAUAUAACGGGGCUUAAGCCGCCCGCCGAAGCUACGGGUUUGUCAUGCGCGGCAUGAUGAGCAGUAGGCGAGCGUUCUGGGAGCGUAGAAGCGAUACCGAAAGGAGUCGUGGAGCGACCGGAAGUGAGAAUGUUGGCACGAGUAGCGAGAACUAUGUGAGAAUCGUAGUCCCCGUAAGUCUAAGGUUUCCGACGGAAGGUCAAUCCGCGUCGGGUUAGUCGGGCCUAAGGUGAGGCCGAAAGGCGUAGCCGAUGGGAAACGGGUCAACAUUCCCGUACCGCGUGAAGUUGAUUGAGCGAAGGGGUGACGCAGGAGGGUAGGUUGGCCGGCGGCUGGAAGAGCCGGCGCCAAGCUUGUAGGCGAAGAGGCGGGGGUUAAAAGACCUGCUGAGCUGAGGAGUGAAGGUGAGCCCGUGACAGGGUGGAAGCGACUGAGCCCAAACUGCCAAGAAAAGCCUCUAGUGAGACUUGCGCGACCGUACCGCAAACCGACACAGGUAGACGGGUAGAGAAUACCAAGGGGAACGGGAGAACCUUCGUUAAGGAAUUCGGCAAAAUAGAUCCGUAACUUCGGGAGAAGGAUCGCCUCUGUAGGGUGAGAGCACAGACGUGUUGGAGCCUGAAGAGGCCGCAGAGAAAAGGCCCUGUCGACUGUUUACCAAAAACACAGGUCUGUGCGAAGUCGAGAGACGAAGUAUACAGGCUGACGCCUGCCCAGUGCCGGAAGGUUAAGGGGAGGGGUGAGAGCUCUGAACUGAAGCCCCGGGGAACGGCGGCCGUAACUAUAACGGUCCUAAGGUAGCGAAAUUCCUUGUCGGGUAAGUUCCGACCCGCACGAAAGGUGUAACGAAUGGGGCGCUGUCUCAACGAAGGACCCGGUGAAACUGAAAUAGGAGUGAAGAUGCUUCUUACCCGCAGCAGGACAAAAAGACCCCGUGGAGCUUUACUGCAGCUUGGCAUUGGGUUAGGACUUAGUUUGUGUAGGAUAGGUGGGAGACGGAGAAGCUGGGCCGCUAGGUUCGGUGGAGUCGCUGGUGAAAUACCACUCUGACUAAGUUUUGGCUCUAAUCUUCGCCGUAAUCCGGUGAGGGGACAGUGCCAGGUGGGCAGUUUGACUGGGGCGGUCGCCUCCCAAAAGGUAACGGAGGCGCGCAAAGGUUCCCUCAGGCUGAAUGGAAACCAGUCGUAGAGUGCAAACGCAAAAGGGAGCUUGACUGCGAGACAUACAGGUCGAGCAGAGACGAAAGUCGGCGUUAGUGAUCCUAUGGCACCGAGUGGAAGGGCCAUGGCUCAACGGAUAAAAGCUACCCCGGGGAUAACAGGCUAGUCUCUCCCAAGAGUUCACAUCGACGGGGAGGCUCGGCACCUCGAUGUCGGCUCGUCACAUCCUGGGGCCGGAGUAGGUCCCAAGGGUUGGGCUGUUCGCCCAUUAAAGUGGCACGCGAGCUGGGUUCAGACCGUCGUGAGACAGGUCGGUCUCUAUCCGCUGUGGGCGUAAGGGAAUUGAGGAGGGCUGCCC
rnacentral:rRNA from 1 species